rnacentral:rRNA from 1 species
AUUGAACGCUGGCGGCGUGCCUAAUACAUGCAAGUCGAACGCAGUGGGGACGGGUGAGUAACACGUGGGUAACCUCCCAUCAGAGGGGAUAACACUUGGAAACAGGUGCUAAACCGAUACUGAUGGAUGGACCCGCGGUGCAUUAGCUAGUUGGUGAGGUAACGGCUCACCAAGGCCACGAGGCAUAGCCGGCCUGAGAGGUGGAUCGGCCACACUGGGACUGAGACACGGCCCAGACUCCUACGGGAGGCAGCAGUAGGGAAUCUUCGGCAAUGGGCGAAAGCCUGACCGAGCAACGCCGCGUGAGUGAAGAAGGUUUUCGGAUCGUAAAGCUCUGUUGUUAGAGAAGCGUUAUCUGACCAAGAAGCCACGGCUAACUACGUGCCAGCAGCCGCGGUAAUUC